UCUUGAAGAAGAAAACCCAUCAUUUUUGCAAUGAUGCUGUCACAGGACAUGGUGCUCAGCAGAAGGAACAGGAAAACUCUUUAGUUUAUUGUGCCCAAACCUUCACCAGGAGCAAAGGUGGAAAAGCAGAAAGAAGAAAAGUAAAAGUGACACAUGAGGAGACGACCUACACACGCAUCAAGGAUUUCAGGAUUCAGUAAAAAUGCCUUAGAUUCCGCAGCUGAGGGUGGUUUUUGUUUUUGUAUGAACUCUGGAAAAUGGUGAGUGGAACUUGUUCAGAGGCUUGCCUUGUACCAUCUGAACCAGUUGUCUUAAUAUUAAAAAAU